CUUCCGAAAAGGCUGCAUCGGGCCGUGGAUGACCUGCCGCGAGUUCCUUCUGCACAAAGGGUCCCUGGCAAAAUGAGGGCCAGAGCAAGCAGCACCCCGGCAAAUCUGGCAGGAAUCAUCUUCCCCUGCAAAUGAGGGCUGCGGCUAUCUCCAAGGUCCCUGGGAAACUCAGCUGCUGGACAAUGGUGCCGCCCACCCUAGGCCAUGCUCUCAGCUGCUGCAAAGGCUCAAUCAGGUCUGCUACAGCUCCGGACUGUCUUGCUGUUAUGUAGCCCAGGGGCUGUGGAGUCCCCACUGCUGGGGGAGAUAAAGCCCAAGCUGUGACAUCCACCAACCACCCUCCCUU
rnacentral:lncRNA from 1 species